rnacentral:rRNA from 1 species
UACGGAGGGGGCUAGCGUUGUUCGGAAUUACUGGGCGUAAAGCGCACGUAGGCGGCUUUGUAAGUUAGAGGUGAAAGCCCGGGGCUCAACUCCGGAAUUGCCUUUAAGACUGCAUCGCUUGAAUUGUGGAGAGGUAAGUGGAAUUCCGAGUGUAGAGGUGAAAUUCGUAGAUACCGAGAGGAACACCGGUGGCGAAGGCGGCCAACUGGACGAAUACUGACGCUGAGACUCGAAAGCGUGGGGAGCAAACAGG